AUUGAACGCUGGCGGCAGGCUUAACACAUGCAAGUCGAGCGAGCGGCGGACGGGUGAGUAAUGUAUGGGAAACUGCCCGAUGGAGGGGGAUAACUACUGGAAACGGUGGCUAAUACCGCAUACCAUCAGAUGACCCCAUAUGGGAUUAGCUAGUAGGUGGGGUAAAGGCUCACCUAGGCGACGACCCCUAGCUGGUCUGAGGGGAUGACCGGCCACCCUGGAACUGAGACACGGUCCAGACUCCUAGGGGAGGCAGCAGUGGGGAAUAUUGCACAAUGGGCGCAAGCCUGAUGCACCCAUGCCGCGUGUGUGAAGAAGGCCUUCGGGUGGUAAAGCACUUUCAGCGGGUAGGCGUUACUCGAAGAAAAAGCACCGGCUAACUCCGUGCCAGCAGCCGCGGUAAUAC
rnacentral:rRNA from 1 species